rnacentral:rRNA from 1 species
AGCAUAUCAAUAAGCGGAGGAAAAGAAACUAACAAGGAUUCCCCUAGUAACUGCGAGUGAAGCGGGAAAAGCUCAAAUUUAAAAUCUGGCGGUCCUUGUGGUCGUCCGAGUUGUAAUCUGGAGAAGUGCUUUCCGUGCUGGACCGUGUACAAGUCUCUUGGAACAGAGCGUCAUAGAGGGUGAGAAUCCCGUCUUUGACACGGACUACCAGUGCUUUGUGAUGCGCUCUCAAAGAGUCGAGUUGUUUGGGAAUGCAGCUCAAAAUGGGUGGUAAAUUCCAUCUAAAGCUAAAUAUUGGCGAGAGACCGAUAGCGAACAAGUACCGUGAGGGAAAGAUGAAAAGAACUUUGGAAAGAGAGUUAAACAGUACGUGAAAUUGCUGAAAGGGAAACGCUUGAAGUCAGUCGCGUUGGCCAGGACUCAGCCUUGCUUUUUUGCUUGGUUUACUUUCUGGUUGACGGGUCAGCAUCAGUUUUGAUCAUUAGAAAAUGGCUGAGGGAAUGUGGCAUCUUCGGAUGUGUUAUAGCCCUUGGUCGCAUGUAAUGGUUGGGACUGAGGAUCGCAGCACACCUUUAAUGGUCGGGGUUCGCCCACGUUUGUGCUUAGGAUGCUGGCAUAAUGGCUUUAAUCGACCCGUCUUGAAACACGGACCAAGGAGUCUAACAUGCAUGCGAGUGUUUGGGUGGAAAACUCGAGCGCGUAAUGAAAGUGAAAGUUGAGACCUCUGUCGUGGAGGGCAUCGACGCCCGGACCAGAACUUCUGUGACGGCCCUGCGGUAGAGCAUGUAUGUUGGGACCCGAAAGAUGGUGAACUAUGCCUGAAUAGGGUGAAGCCAGAGGAAACUCUGGUGGAGGCUCGUAGCGAUUCUGACGUGCAAAUCGAUCGUCAAAUUUGGGUAUAGGGGCGAAAGACUAAUCGAACCAUCUAGUAGCUGG